rnacentral:rRNA from 1 species
CCUGGGGUAGGGGUGAAAUCCUGUAAUCNUGGGGGGACCACCAGUGGCGAAGGCGUCUAGCUAGAACGGGUCUGACGGUGAGGGACGAAACCUUGGGGCGCAANCCGGAUUAGAUACCCGGGUAGUCCAGGGCGCAAACGCUGCUUGCUUGAUGUUAGCUGGGCUCCGAGCUCAGCUAGUGUCGGAGAGAAGUUGUUAAGCAAGCUGCCUGGGAAGUACGAUCGCAAGAUUGAAACUUAAAGGAAUUGGCGGGGGAGCACAGCAACGGGUGGAGCGUGCGGUUUAAUUGGAUUCAACGCCGGAAAACUCACCGGAGGCGACGGUUACAUGAAGGCCAGGCUGAUGACCUUGCCUGAUUUUCCGAGAGGUGGUGCAUGGCCGCCGUCAGUUCGUACCGUAAGGCGUUCUGUUAAGUCAGAUAACGAACGAGACCCUCAUCCUUAAUUGCUACUGAUGACUCCGGUUGUCAGGCACAUUAAGGAGACCGCUGGCGAUAAGUCAGAGGAAGGCGAGGGCAACGGUAGGUCAGUAUGCCCUGAAUCCUCCGGGCUACACGCGCGCUACAAGGGCCAGGACAAUGGGUUUCGACACCGAAAGGUGAAGGUAAUCUCGAAACCUGGUCAUAGUUCGGAUCGAGGAUUGAAACUCAUCCUCGUGAAGCUGGAAUCCGUAGUAAUCGCGGAUCAACAUCCCGCGGUGAAUAUGCCCCUGCUCCUUGCACACACCGCCCGUCAAACCAUGCGAGUUGGGUUUAAGUGAGGAUGUAGUAUUUUGCUGCGUUCAAACUUGGGCUUAGCAAGCGGGGUU